rnacentral:rRNA from 1 species
GAUGAACGCUGGCGGCGUGCCUAAUACAUGCAAGUCGAGCGAACAGACGAGGAGCUUGCUCCUCUGACGUUAGCGGCGGACGGGUGAGUAACACGUGGAUAACCUACCUAUAAGACUGGGAUAACUUCGGGAAACCGGAGCUAAUACCGGAUAAUAUAUUGAACCGCAUGGUUCAAUAGUGAAAGACGGUUUUGCUGUCACUUAUAGAUGGAUCCGCGCCGCAUUAGCUAGUUGGUAAGGUAACGGCUUACCAAGGCAACGAUGCGUAGCCGACCCGAGAGGGUGAUCGGCCACACUGGAACUGAGACACGGUCCAGACUCCUACGGGAGGCAGCAGUAGGGAAUCUUCCGCAAUGGGCGAAAGCUUGACGGAGCAACGCCGCGUGAGUGAUGAAGGUCUUCGGAUCGUAAAACUCUGUUAUUAGGGAAGAACAAAUGUGUAGGUAACUAUGCACGUCUUGACGGUACCUAAUCAGAAAGCCACGGCUAACUACGUG